UUCUUACAACCGAUGCCUCGG
rnacentral:misc_RNA from 1 species